GAAAAGAAAGGAUAAAAAGAAGAAAAGGAGAAGAAAAUUUCAUUUUUUCUUUUCUUCUUCUUCUUCUCUUCCCUUCACCGCCAAGAUUUUGAAGACAUCCAAGUUCCAUUUUUUUUUCUUUUUCCUUCUUCAAUUUGCAGAGAACUUCUAAGAGAGAGUUUGGAAGAAGAAGAGAAAUUUUACUAGAAUUUUUAGGUUGAAGAAGAGGAGGAGAACUCAAGCAAAGUGUAUCAAUGGCUGAAUUUUAGUUCAUUCUGCACAUCACUGGUUUUUAAUUCGGUUUGAACUCUUCAAAAGGAAUUAAGAGAAAACAUGGCAGUUGGUUUUUACUCGAAAUCAGGAGGUCUCUGGUUUUUCAUGUAUUUCAGAGUGUAUCGGUGGAGUUAGAAUCUCUAUUUGGGACAAGUUAAAGAGGUCGUGUGCGCGCGAUUCUGGAAGUGGUUCUGUUUUGAGGGUUAUAUGUGUUUAUGCACGGGGAAUCAGAUUUAUAUGUCUUCAGGCCGAGAAGAAUUAAACCGAGCUUAUAGACCAAGGAUCUAGCCCAAGACUGUGAGUGACAAAACCAACUUUGAAAUAUUUUCCAUAAUUGUUAUUAUGAUUGAAUGCGAUAAAUGUUUAUUUACGAAGCCAUGAAAAGUAUUUGAAUUUCAUGACUAUUUUCAAGUAUACAUUUGGAGACUAGAUUUCUUAAAGAAAUUUAUGCUAGCACGUAGAUAUUAAAUGUUUGGAAAGUAUUUAAACCACAAUAUUUUAAGCAAAGCAUGAAUUAGUAUGAAGUUUUGUUUUAAGAACUACAAUUUUCCACGAAAGAGCUGAGUAAAGUUCGAGCUUUGUGUAAAAUUUAUAAGCAGGCAUGUUUUAAUAUUUAAAGAUGAUUUAUGAAAUUUUCAUUAACUACAUGACUGAGAUCUUGAGCCUGAGGCUAGAGAUUACCGUGUGCACACUGGUUAGAUUCCGUUGUUGACGUUGAGUGUACUCCGUAACAACGAUGCUGUCGUGAGUGCUGGGCGGGCCCCACUACGACAAAGAUGAUGGGAGUGCUGGGCGGGCCCCACUACAUCGUAGUGCUUGUAAACGUUGUUGUACUAGGUGUACCUACACAACGUAGAUUCGUCAUGUUAGUUAAAAUGCUUCGAUAUACUUGAUAUGCCUUGCUAGAUUUCAAUGAUGAACAUGCUGAGUAUUUAAGGAAGCUAUUCUUACUACUACACAUUUACAUUUGCGACUUGUAUAAACAGAUUAAUAUGUGUAAAGUUUUCACGUGCUCUUAUCUUUAAAUUCAUAGUUUUAAACUGAGUCACUCACUGAGCUUCAUAGCUCACCCUUUCCAAAAUGUUUUACCCAUUUUCCAGGUAGAGAUCGACUUCUCGGUGCCUGAUAGACUGCCUUAGUCUGCGGAAGCUUCAUUAUCGAUUGCCAGUACGUGUUUUGAGUUGGGCAUAGAGUCUGUUGUGUUGUGGUGUAUAUACACCCUUGUAUGUUAUAGAUACUCCACAGUUUGUAUAAGCUUUAGGAACUGUAGUUGUGUAAAUUUUGUUGGUUAUAUUUUGAUUAAGGUGUCUUUAGGUUUACUCGUGAAAUCGGUAAAUUUUGAGGUACACUUCAUGUAUGUGUUUGACUAGCUGUGUUUGACUAGCCUAGGAUCCGCUGUGUUUUGUGGCAUGUACAAUAGUUUAUAUACUAGAUUGGCAAGUUCAUCACAAGAAAAUUUUAAGCAGAGUCGACAUAUACAGGUACAGAAAAGCGUUGUUCGUCGGCUUCACGCCAUCUUUCGGUCUAAGGUAGCAGGUAGUCCGGGAGGGGGUGUGACACCAACGAAGAAAGAUGAUUGUAAGAAUUUGUCAAAGAUAUGAAAUAUUAGGUAUAUGAGAAAAGGGUACUUUAAUUACACUA